rnacentral:rRNA from 1 species
GAAUCAACGCUGGCGGCGUGCCUAAUACAUGCAAGUCGAACGCGAAAACCCCGCAAGGGGUUAGUAGAGUGGCAAACGGGUGAGUAACGCGUGGGCGACCUACCUCAGAGUGGGGGAUAACCUUCCGAAAGGAGGGCUAAUACCGCAUAACAUUCCGUGUUUGGAUACACGGACAUCAAAGCCGGGGAUCGCAAGACCUGGCGCUUGGAGAGGGGCCCGCGUCCGAUUAGCUAGUUGGUGAGGUAACGGCUCACCAAGGCUUCGAUCGGUAUCCGGCCUGAGAGGGCGGACGGACACACUGGGACUGAGACACGGCCCAAACUCCUACGGGAGGCAGCAGUGGGGAAUAUUGCACAAUGGGGGAAACCCUGAUGCAGCGACGCCGCGUGAGCGAAGAAGUAUUUCGGUAUGUAAAGCUCUAUCAGCAGGGAAGAAAAUGACGGUACCUGACUAAGAAGCACCGGCUAAAUACGUGCCAGCAGCCGCGGUAAUACGUAUGGUGCAAGCGUUAUCCGGAUUUACUGGGUGUAAAGGGAGCGUAGACGGCUGUGUAAGUCUGAAGUGAAAGCCCGGGGCUCAACCCCGGGACUGCUUUGGAAACUACGCAGCUAGAGUGUCGGAGAGGUAAGUGGAAUUCCCAGUGUAGCGGUGAAAUGCGUAGAUAUUGGGAGGAACACCAGUGGCGAAGGCGGCUUACUGGACGAUGACUGACGUUGAGGCUCGAAAGCGUGGGGAGCAAACAGGAUUAGAUACCCUGGUAGUCCACGCCGUAAACGAUGACUACUAGGUGUCGGGGAGCAAAGCUCUUCGGUGCCGCAGCAAACGCAAUAAGUAGUCCACCUGGGGAGUACGUUCGCAAGAAUGAAACUCAAAGGAAUUGACGGGGACCCGCACAAGCGGUGGAGCAUGUGGUUUAAUUCGAAGUAACGCGAAGAACCUUACCUGCUCUUGACAUCCCGGUGACCGGCAUGUAAUGAUGCCUUUUCUUCGGAACACCGGUGACAGGUGGUGCAUGGUUGUCGUCAGCUCGUGUCGUGAGAUGUUGGGUUAAGUCCCGCAACGAGCGCAACCCUUAUCUUCAGUAGCCAGCAAUUCGGAUGGGCACUCUGGAGAGACUGCCAGGGAUAACCUGGAGGAAGGUGGGGAUGACGUCAAAUCAUCAUGCCCCUUAUGAGCAGGGCUACACACGUGCUACAAUGGCGUAAACAAAGGGAAGCGAGCCUGCGAGGGUAAGCAAAUCUCAAAAAUAACGUCUCAGUUCGGAUUGUAGUCUGCAACUCGACUACAUGAAGCUGGAAUCGCUAGUAAUCGCGAAUCAGCAUGUCGCGGUGAAUACGUUCCCGGGUCU